rnacentral:rRNA from 1 species
AUUGAACGCUGGCGGCAGGCCUAACACAUGCCAGUCGAGCGGAUGAAGGGAGCUUGCUCCUGGCUUCAGCGGAGGACGGGUGAGUAAUGCCUAGGAAUCUGCCUGGGAGUGGGGGAUAACGUCCGGAAACGGGCGCUAAUACCGCAUACGUCCUGAGGGAGAGAGUGGGGGAUCUUCGGACCUCACGCUAUCAGAUGAGCCUAGGUCGGAUUAGCUAGUUGGUGGGGUAAAGGCCUACCAAGGCGACGAUCCGUAACUGGUCUGAGAGGAUGAUCAGUCACACUGGAACUGAGACACGGCCCAGACUCCUACGGGAGGCAGCAGUGGGGAAUAUUGGACAAUGGGCGAAAGCCUGAUCCAGCCAUGCCGCGUGUGUGAAGAAGGUCUUCGGAUUGUAAAGCACUUUAAGUUGGGAGGAAGGGCAGUAAGUUAAUACCUUGCUGUUUUGACGUUACCAACAGAAUAAGCACCGGCUAACUUCGUG